AAGUGGAGCAAUCCAUGAGUAAAGUGGCGACCGGGUGAGUAACACGUGACUAACCUACCUUCGAGUGGGGGAUAACAUCGGGAAACCGAUGCUAAUACCGCAUAAUAUCGCAAGAUCAAAGCAGCGAUGCGCUGGAAGAGGGGGUCGCGGCUGAUUAGCUAGUUGGCGGGGUAACGGCCCACCAAGGCGAAGAUCGGUAGCCGGCCUGAGAGGGCGCACGGCCACACUGGAACUGAAACACGGUCCAGACUCCUACGGGAGGCAGCAGUGGGGAAUUUUGCGCAAUGGGGGAAACCCUGACGCAGCAACGCCGCGUGGAGGAUGAAGCCCCUUGGG
rnacentral:rRNA from 1 species